GAUGAACGCUGGCGGCGUGCCUAAUACAUGCAAGUCGAGCGAACAGACGAGGAUCUUGCUCCUCUGACGUUAGCGGCGGACGGGUGAGUAACACGUGGAUAACCUACCUAUAAGACUGGGAUAACUUCGGGAAACCGGAUCUAAUACCGGAUAAGAUAUUGAACCGCAUGGUUCAAUAGUGAAAGACGGUUUUGCUGUCACUUAUAGAUGGAUCCGCGCCGCAUUAGCUAGUUGGUAAGGUAACGGCUUACCAAGGGGACGAUGCGUAGCCGACCUGAGAGGGUGAUCGGCCACACUGGAACUGAGACACGGUCCAGACUCCUACGGGAGGCAGCAGUAGGGAAUCUUCCGCAAUGGGCGAAAGCCUGACGGAGCAACGCCGCGUGAGUGAUGAAGGUCUUCGGAUCGUAAAACUCUGUUAUUAGGGAAGAACAAAUGUGUAAGUAAAUAUGCACGUCUUGACGGUACCUACUCAGAAAGCCACGGCUAACUACGUG
rnacentral:rRNA from 1 species